rnacentral:rRNA from 1 species
GAUGAACGCUAGCGGCAGGCUUAACACAUGCAAGUCGAGGGGUAACAGGGGAGAGCUUGCUUUCUUGCUGACGACCGGCGCACGGGUGCGUAACGCGUAUAGUACCUACCUUAAACUGGGGUAUACCCUUUGGAAACGAAGAUUAAUCCCCCAUGUGGUUGUAAAGUAGCAUUAUUUUAUAAUUAAAGAUUUAUCGGUUUAAGAUGGCUAUGCGUCCUAUUAGCUAGAUGGUAAGGUAACGGCUUACCAUGGCAACGAUAGGUAGGGGUCCUGAGAGGGAGAUCCCCCACACUGGUACUGAGACACGGACCAGACUCCUACGGGAGGCAGCAGUGAGGAAUAUUGGUCAAUGGGUGAGAGCCUGAACCAGCCAUGCCGCGUGCAGGAAGACUGCCCUAUGGGUUGUAAACUGCUUUUAUAUGGGAAGAACAUCAGAUACGUGUAUUUGUUUGACGGUACCAUACGAAUAAGGACCGGCUAACUCCG